UGACUGCCUGUGUGGUAGCUGCACUGCUCAGUGGUUUCUACUCUCUCUGCCAGGCGUUUAGCUAUUCAGCUGGUGUUCUAGUGUAUUUGCUUCUGCCUUGCCUACAGACCUGAAGGGCAGGAAAAGAACCUGCCAGGCUUGGCCCGAGAUGGGUCUGGACGGCUGUUCUUGGGGCUGCUCAGCUGCAGGUUUGUGUUUCAACUCGGAGGAUGGAACAAAGAGGAAUAACUCUCAGGGGUGUUUCUUUACACUGGAUACCUGAAUCCUGAAUGCAAAGAGAAACUGAGCAUUAAAAAAUGCCAGGUUCAAAAAGCUGUUGGCACUGAGCACAGCUGAUCAAUGGUGUUUUGUUGCUACAACAGGAGAUUUCACUAAAGCUCUUUCCCCUUGGUCUGCUGCCAGGGACUGCAGAAGAGGUCUCUGAGGAGCUCAGAAGGGAAGGUAAAGGAGCCUGGAGGAGAAAUUCCUUUGUGACAGUGACUACAGACCAAGAGAAACCUCUCAGCCGUGUGCUGCAGAUACAUUUUUUACAGACGAAAGCUUGGUAAACAAUAAAAGCAGACAGUAAGCUGUUGAAAAGAAAGGCAACUCAAUCCUCAAAUAUGCUUUUCAUAGUAUCCUGUCUUCACAUUUUGUAAAAUGGCAGGGGAGAUGAAACACGUCUGAAGACAGUUAGGUACCUCUCCGCCUUUCCCUCCUCACUGGGCAUAGUGAGAUCUAAAAAGCAGAUGAAUUAUUAAGCCCAUGGUAUAGGCUCUCUCCUCGUCAGUUCAAGAAAAGAUGCGAUGGAGCAGGAGUUUUACCCUACAGAGGUGUCUUACCCAAGCCCAGCAAGGAGCUUCUAGAUUAGUGUGCUUCAGCCUGGCAGGGACCCAGGUGACCACCACGUUAGAGCUGCAGCAAGUCUGAUGCUUCCAAAAACUGCUGCAUGCAAGGAGCUCCUGGAAGGCAAUUGUAUGGGUCCUGCUCAGAGACGGAUGUUCCCAGGAUGCAGCAACCUGCCUCUUCUUCCACUGGGACUGAGGCACAGCAGGCCCCGCACAGACUGGACUUUUUGGGGGGGAGGCAUUGGAUCCGGCCGUCAAUAGGUGCCAGGCUUACAACAUCAGUUCAGAUAUUGAGAGAUGAUGUUGGCCUUACUGUGCACAACGCAGUCUAUGUGCAGAAGUACUGGGCCCCCUAUCAGCAACAGACUCACCGGGUAUUCAGAAAUCCCAGGCAAAUGAAGCAAAUCCCCAGAAUCCAGCUGGAUAAGGUUUGGGGCAGAAAGAAAGAACAUACCUGGGGAUAAAAUGGACUCUAUUUCUAUACCUCCACCCCUGUGAAAUCCAGGAAGGAUGCUGUCUAUUGAGGAGUGCCACUGAAAAGCACCACAUCUGACCACUGAACAGCCAUAGACAGCUCUUUUACAGCAAUUUCUCCUGCACAGGUCUCCAAGUGUUUUACACAGAGGCUCGGCCCUGCCCAGCACCUCUCCUUCAGAGGCUGGAGAAGCAGCAGCACAGUGAGGAGACUAGCAGGCCCCUUGCCAUGUCAAGGCUGGAUCUCAGCUUGCCACGUGCAAGGGAUAUUUCACCAGAGGACCUGAGCCUGGUUGGAAAAAGAAUACCAUACCCUGUGGCUUCACAGGUCAGAUCCCUGAUUGGUACAAACAGCACUUCUCUGUCAGCUCCUGCAGCGCCUGUUGCCCCAGGGUGUGCUCUCCUACUGGGCUGCAGCUUACGAGACCAGCAACAGAGCAAGUGGGAAGACCUCUUAACUUUCUGUAUGAAGCUGGAAGCAAGCUGAUUAUGUGAGAACCAAAAAUCUCCAACAGGGCAAAGAUUUUCAGAUAUGUUUAAAUGGCACUAUAGGGGCUGUGGCUCAUUUUUUGCUGUUAACAAUUUGAUACAGCUGUAACAUUUAUUUUAAUAAUACCCAAAGACAAAUUACAGUAUCUAAAAAGACCAGGGUUACAUUUUAGUUUUCUAAAAGCUGAGAUAGUCAUAUUAAUAUACUGUGAAUUUAUUGUAUCAAGAGUGCUAGCAUUUUAAUGAUAAAACACCUAGGGUCAGUAGAAAAUAUAAGUAAUCUGCAAAUUCAUUUUAGAUACAAUGAAAUAGCAUAGCGUAAGGGGUCUGUCACAUUUUAAAUAGGACAAACAUUAUUUAUACUUCAUGCUGCAACACUUUUUCUUCUGAGGUAAGAAGCAGCAGGACUCUUAUUUGAUCACACAGCAUCUGCAAAUGUGCAGGGGGGCCACAGCAGCUCAUCUGACAGCAACAGGCAAAGGCUGUGGUAGUUAUGGUGCUUCCUGAUGCGGAAGGCAAGCUGCAGAGCAGCCAUGCUCACCUGGCCCAUUAGAGCAGGGCUGGUGGGGACCUGCUAAAGGGCCACAGGUGGAGGGGGAGGUUAUAAACAGGGGAGGGGGCAGUGGGGGAGCUACCAGCCCUCUGGUGCAGAGGGGCAUCAGCUGGGAUCCUGCUCCAGAGCUAUUUUCCCCAUGGUGAGUGUUAUUUUAGCUUCCUGUACAGGGGCAGUGUGAUGGUCAGGUGAAGCCAGCGCCAAUGAGCGGAGAUAUCUCACAGGCACGGAGAGGAGGGGGAAAGCCAGCGGUGGAGAGUGCUCUGCCCUGGGAGUGAGCUCUGUGCUCCGAGGACAGUUGUGUAGGGCUGUGUGAGGUUACUGUUUCUUUGUCUGGCAUCCUACAGCUGAGCUUGGGGUGAGGUUUGAGCAUCCGGUGGUGCAGCAGCCCCGGAGGAGCCCAGGAAUGGCAAGCAUACAUCUGCUCUCUGGUAUCAGUGCUGCUGUGGGCAUGAGGCCACCCUCAGUUGCUUAAACUAUGGUCAGAAGUGCUGCUUGCUGGAAAGGUUUCUUCAACUGUUAAUUUACUGAUGGCUUUCUGAAUUCGUUGAUAAAAGAAGAGCUGCGUCCCUCUGAAGAUGUGAUAAGCCUAGAUUGGUACCUGCUCUGAUUUAUGUUGGCACUAUCUGGUUAGAAACCUGUUCUGAUGGCAGAUCAGAGGAGCGUUUUUGUGCAGCAUUAGCGGUAAAUGUCAUGAUGGGAUCUUACUUUGAAAUAUUCGUAAUGUCAAGCAAGUGGGGAAAAUAUGCAAGGAAUGCAAUUUAUCAUCUAGCUUCAACAUUAUUAUUUAUGCUCCAAAUCCAGUUGCAGUGCUUGUCUGCAUUAAGUGUCUCAUAAGAAACUGUAUAAUGCUCCUUGUGAAUUUCCCAUGGAACUGUUAGUGCUUUGGCAAACAAAAGCCCCGAGGUUAAGCUCUGUGUAAUGCUCCCUUGGCCUCCACUUCCAGACUUAAGAGGACAGUGCAGGAGAAGCCAAUUGCAAGCAUAUGGUAUUGUCUCUGCAUCCCUCUGUUCCAAAGUGCUCAGCACGGCUUUGGUUUUCAGCUGUUGAUAUUGUAACAUCUUUAUUUACCUUCUUGUUGCUGUUUCUCUUUCUCACAUAAAUCCACACUCAACAGAUUUUUUUUCAAUAAGGAAAAAGCAUUGAUAAUGACUUCUUUAUAAACCUGCGGAUGCAGUCUGUUGUCCCUAAGGUAGAAGUAGAGUGAAAAAUACCAUUUUUGUGGGAUUCAGCUCUGUAGGAACUGUUUUUACAGCCAAGACACAUUAAAAGGCAGGUAGAGGCUGCAGCACUUGGGUUUCUGCUGGCUUCCAGAGCAGUCUAGUGAAAGGUCACAUUCCAGUUGUUACUGCCUCGAACCAGCAGGAGAGCACGCUGUUUUGAAUUGAUGCUGCCAUCAAGGGUGAGGUCCUUUGCGCAUCUCUCCUGCUGGUGGGAAAAUCUCAAAGGGGCUCAUCCUUGUCUCUGCUGUCAGAAUAAGGUGCUGAAUUUAAAUCAGGCUGGAGGCAGUCCAAGGGUUAUGUGCCUGACUAACAGUCAUUCGCUUUCAAAAGAAUUAACCUCUUGAUGCCAAAAAUAAAACAGCAGGAAGAGCAUUGGGCUACUAUAGCAGGAAAAUGUUAGCAGUACCUGCUGAAGAAAUUUUGUCGGUCUCUGACAUUCUAACCCUCCAAUAAAAAUUAAAAUUUACUCAGUAGUUUUGUAAGGUGAAAAUCAAUCCAAAAACUUAUGGUAGAUGUCAUAUAACAUCAUGAUGAAGUUGAGACAUUACUUAGGCCCUGUAGGCACUCAGUACUUCGUAUUUCAGAAAGAAACAGAAAUGGAUUUCCAACUCCUGGUUAAGUUUGUGAAUAGUGUGGAAGAAUCACUAUGGCUUCAAAACAGGAGUUAAGAAGAAUGCAGCAAACAUUUUAGAGUGCAUUUAUGUUAAAGAAGGAUGGGUGUACAUAGAUACAAAAGGCUUUCUCUUGUUUCAUAGUUGUUUCUCUUCAGAAAACAUUCAGUGUGGUACUCAAAAAUGAAAUGAUUGUAAACAGCAAAACUGCAUGCUUAUUGGUAGCUUCAUUUGUUGAGAGGCUGAAAUGUGAUUUUAUUUUUUCCUUCCAUAUUGCACCGGUAUCUAAUCAAGUAAAACGCUGCAGAAGAUAAAGUACAGGCUUGUGAGCCUAUCCUUUGUUCAACAAAGGGAAACUAAUGGCAUUUUCAUGGAAUGAUUCGCAUGUCUAUGACAUUAUCUUGCUGACUCUUUUUUGUCUAUUCUGGCUAUGAAAGCUAAAAGAAAACCAGGCCCUGCUUCAAAAUUCAGAUGCGUGGUAGCUAAUUGCAGUACACACAGACUUAAUAAAGAGGUGUCAUUAGUUGUAAA